AUGAUAUGAUACGAAACAAAACAAAAUCAUAAUGUCAGUCAUAAAAACCGUGCCCUCUCCUUAAAUACGACCCUGAAUACAAUACAAGGUACAAUACUGUUCGGAAGCAUAUAAUAUGGAAAGUGUAUAUCAUUGACAUUUUAGAAAAUACCUACUCACUGUUUGUAUUAAUAUUGUACGCCUUCAUCGCUCUCCUGUCUUCGAAUUCAACAGUAGUCUACCCGCGGUGCAAAGUAUUUCUUGCUUUUUUCUUGCGUACAGUGGUGUAAUUGAUAAUCGUCUAAAACGAAAGUACAAUUUUCACCCCCAAUAAACAGGUCUGGAAAAACGAUUGUCAGUUGCCCGUGUACCAAUUCGUUUUCGCCGAAACAUCCCCGCGAUGGGAUCGCUAUAUGCAAACUCUAUUGUCCAUUCGCGUGGAAAUUUCGUUCUCGCCACUAUCGGUUUCUAGAACAAUGCGUUUACGCGCGCGAAAGAAUCACUCGGUGUUUCCGCUGAAAGACAUCGUAUACUUGUACGGGUAACCUAAUAGAUACCUAGCCGCCGCGCACUGCAGUCGUACCAUGCACUUACAUGGUUACACCGGAGUUUUUCAGCCGAAAGAUUUCGAGUGUACAACUUACUAUACGUAUACGUAUUAUACAUAAUGUAAGGCAAACAGUCGGUUCGUGAAUAAGUUAAUACGUUUCUAAAGAGUUAAAAUAAACCCUCGAGACCGUUAGACGUUUUGGCGUUUGACU